rnacentral:rRNA from 1 species
GACGAACGCUGGCGGCGUGCCUAAUACAUGCAAGUUGAGCGCUGAAGGUUGGUACUUUUACCGACUGGAUGAGCAGCGAACGGGUGAGUAACGCGUGGAGAAUCUGCCUUUGAGCGGGGGACAACAUUUGGAAACGAAUGCUAAUACCGCAUAAAAACUUUAAACACAAGUUUUAAGUUUGAAAGAUGCAAUUGCAUCACUCAAAGAUGAUCCCGCGUUUUAUUAGCUAGUUGGUGAGGUAAAGGCUCACCAAGGCGAUGAUACAUAGCCGACCUGAGAGGGUGAUCGGCCAACAUGGGAAUGAGACACGGCCCAAACUCCUACGGGAGGCAGCAAUAGGGAAACUUCGGCAAUGGACGAAAGUCUGACCGAGGAACGCCGCGUGAGUGAAGAAGGUUUUCGGAUCGUAAAACUCUGUUGGUAGAGAAGAACGUUGGUGAGAGUGGAAAGCUCAUCAAGUGACGGUAACUACCCAGAAAGGGACGGCUAACUACGUG